UUGAACGCUGGCGGCAUGCUUUACACAUGCAAGUCGAACGGCAGCGCGGGCUUCGGCCUGGCGGCGAGUGGCGAACGGGUGAGUAAUGCAUCGGAACGUGCCCAGUAGUGGGGGAUAGCCCGGCGAAAGCCGGAUUAAUACCGCAUACGACCUGAGGGUGAAAGCGGGGGACCGAAAGGCCUCGCGCUAUUGGAGCGGCCGAUGUCGGAUUAGCUAGUUGGUGGGGUAAAGGCUUACCAAGGCGACGAUCCGUAGCUGGUCUGAGAGGACGACCAGCCACACUGGGACUGAGACACGGCCCAGACUCCUACGGGAGGCAGCAGUGGGGAAUUUUGGACAAAGGGGGCAACCCUGAUCCAGCCAUGCCGCGUGCGGGAAGAAGGCCUUCGGGUUGUAAACCGCUUUUGUUCGGGAAGAAAUCCUCUGGGCUAAUACCCCGGGGGGAUGACGGUACCGGAAGAAUAAGCACCGGCUAACUACGUG
rnacentral:rRNA from 1 species